rnacentral:rRNA from 1 species
CAGUCGAACGCUGAAGCCUGGUGCUUGCACCGGGUGGAUGAGUGGCGAACGGGUGAGUAACGCGUGAGUAACCUGCCCCUGACUUCGGGAUAAGCCCGGGAAACUGGGUCUAAUACCGGAUACUACCGUCGGACGCAUGUCUGGUGGUGGAAAGUUUUUUCGGUUGGGGAUGGGCUCGCGGCCUAUCAGUUUGUUGGUGAGGUAAUGGCUCACCAAGACGACGACGGGUAGCCGGCCUGACAGGGCGACCGGCCACACUGGGACUGACACACGGCCCAGACUCCUACCGGAGGCAGCAAUGGGGAAUAUUGCACAAUGGGGGAAACCCUGAUGCAGCGACGCAACGUGCGGGAUGACGGCCUUCGGGUUGUAAACCGCUUUCAACAGGGAAGAAGCGCAAGUGACGGUACCUGCACAACAAGUACCGGCUAACUACGUGCCAGCACCCGCGG